AAGCAAAACUGGGAGGUGUGCAGAAAUUUGCUAGAGUAUCUGAGCCAAGCCUUGAGGAAUUUUGAUUGCCGCAUUUGCAAAGUUUGGUGUGCCAGCUGUAACAAAAGGAGUGAAAGUUUUUGAUAGUUCAGGGACUGAGUUGGAUGAUGAUGUAUUUGAGGAUAUAGUAACAGAUCCCUCAACUGGGGUACUAACCAUCAAAUAUGAAAAAGGUCUGGAAACAGCUGCUGCAGAAGUGUCUCCUGAGCAGUCCCAGUUAUCAUUGCCACAUUCAUCAGAUUCACAGGAUACGGUCAUCCUUUCAGACAGCCCUUUAGGAAACGUCAGAAGCUGGAUGUAGAAGAUAAGCAAUUGGUGGAAUCGAUUCUCACCAGCAAACCUGGUGGAGAAUAUAUAAUAAAUGAAUACAAUCGGACCAAGUCCCUGGUGGAUGAAACCAGAAGAAAAACAUACUGGUCAACAUACUGGUAGCUGACUUGACAGAAAAAAAUGGUACAUCACCACCACGACAGGUAAAAGAAAUGUAUGCCAGAGGAAUUGUAACCUUUUUCCCUUACCUCAGUGGCCCGUACUCCAAAAAUGGCUAUUGUCUGUACAUGUCACUCUCCAAGGAACAUUAUCAUGAUGGUGAGAGUGGCACUGGGUACUUGGCCUGGAGGAUUAAAGCCAUACAGAGAUGCACUGCUAAAGGGAGGCCAUUAUCAUCUGGAGCACCAGGAGAUGGAUCAUCGGGUGAAGACCAGUGUGGUGGACCAACUGUCAGACGAGAGUUGCAGUUUGUUACAGAGAAGUUACUGAGUGAGGAUGAGUGCAGGGAAGCAAUCUCUCUGAUGAACAAUUCAGCUGAUGAAGACACAGUCAAGAAGAAGAUGUUGACAUUUGUUUAUCGACAUAACAUGGUCCUUGACCCCCUGCUGUCAAGCAACGUACUGUCUGUUUUUCCACGUUUCAAAGAUAUCAAAGGCUUGAUUGAACAGGAUUUUGUACUGAUGUUUGGUGAGGAUGUAUCAGGCAGGUUGCUGGAGAGGUGGCCAACAACAUUCAAAAGAAAGAUUAUCCAACAAGGCAGAAAGCUUCCUUCUACCAGUGACCUGAAAGAACUCUUGCUGGCAGCUGACUCACCUGAGGAUGCCACUGAAGUUAAUGCUGACAUUGGUGACCAGGAAAGGUAUCAACUUCUCAAGCAGAAAGGCGUCUUGUGGUCUUCAAGAAGACUGAAACAAAUAUCCAAGAGCACCUUGAUGCCAUCACUACCAGCACUCAACCCUACCUCCUGGCUGUUGGGGUGAAAAAGAAUGACAUCCACCGGUUCUUCAUUAUUCUUGACAAGAAUGCCAUACCAUGCAAGUCUACCUCUUCACUUGGUGCUUUUGAUGAACUGUUUAAAGCACAUUUUGUGUUUGGCACAUCUUACAACACUAUGCUUCACAACAUGCACACGUUCAUCCCAACCACAGGUUUUAGAAAACAUUUAAAUACCAAACACCUUAACUAUUUUGACCAACAGGCUGACACUGAUGUUAAUCUACAGCCUGAUGUGGCAGUUAAAGAAGUUAGCACUACAGGGGAGGUGAUGUUAACUAAUGUAGAAGAAACACCCACAACAUGUGAAAAGUUGAAAAGGUCAAAUAAGAGCACUUUGGAUAUGUGUGCCUCUGCUGUUGCACAGCUCAGGGCAGCUGGAUUAAGCCAAUCUACUGUGAAUAGUUUUGUCUCCUCAAUGUGUGUGUGUUUUUUGAGAUUCAUACUCAGGCUAAAGAUGCAGCCUUACAGAUUGUACCUUCACAGUACACCACAAGUAAAAAUAAAUAUAAUAGUAAUAAAAUAAAGCAUUGGGAGUCCUUUAGCCUGGAAAGAUUAGCUUUAGGACCAGGAAAGAUGGUGACACUUGGAGAGCUGGAAGAAGGUCCAGAAAUUGCUUCGAGCUGUAUUGUCUACCAGUUUGUUUUCAGCUAAGUGGAUAAAACAUCAUGGUACAGAGUACCGCCUUGACUUUAUCAUCUGUAGUGUCUGAGAUUCCGUUUUUUUGUAAGAUCAAAAGUAUUGUUGUGAAAGAUGACAUUGUAUUGCUCUGCGGAAAACUGAUGGAAACCCUGUGUUUUGAUGACCAUUAUCAUGCAUUUAGGGUCAGAGUAUAUCCCAAUAUGGUGCUGAAGGUGUUGAACAUAAAUCAGCUGUGUUGCUUCUUCAAAUGAAGUAUGGCAUUUCAGAUUCCUCCCUGUAUGUCGUUCCAUAUUGCCGUUUUAUGCCGAACUAAAUUCAUUGUUUUAAAGUGUUUUAUACACUACAUGAGAUUUUUU